rnacentral:rRNA from 1 species
CCCUUAGAUGUUCUGGGCCGCACGCGCGCUACACUGAUGCAUUCAACGAGUCCAACCUUGACCGAGAGGUCCGGGUAAUCUUUGAAACUGCAUCGUGAUGGGGCUAGAUUAUUGCAAUUAUUAAUCUUCAACGAGGAAUGCCUAGUAAGCGUGAUUCAUCAAAUCGCGUUGAUUACGUCCCUGCCCUUUGUACACACCGCCCGUCGCUCCUACCGAUUGAGUGUGUUGGUGAGGAGUUUGGAUUGGCCUCGGAAGGUGGUUCGCCACCGUCCGUAGCUGAGAAGUUCUCCAAACCGCCCAACUUAGAGGAAGGAGAAGUCGUAACA